AUCCUCGCCCGGCGCCUCACUCACCAAGGGCCGCGCCGGGGUUCUGCACUGUCACUGCGCUGCGGUUCCCCGCCUUAGGGAUUCUCACACGGUUCCACGGCUCCAGGCCCGGCGGCACCGCAGCCAUCAUGCGAGGCGGGGGGACUUACGAAAGGCGGAGCUACGCGAGAGCACGUCCAGCGACCGGAGUCUGGAACAGUUCCUCGUUCUUUCUCUGGCUCUGGAUCUGCGUCCCUGACAGUCUUAAAGAGGACAGACCUUUCAUUCAUGAGGAUGACCCUCAACUUGGCCCAGUCCAUGUUUCCUCAGACUCAAGCCUUGCAUUCCUGGCAGAAAGACUGAAGAAAUGAUGCUGUGCUCUUCUCAGUGCUUCGCGUCAGGAGGCUCUACUCUCUCAACCGGCCCCACUAUUGGGACUUCUGGAAUCCAUCUGCAAGGAAUGCCAGCUGGUGGCUCUUAAAUACCCAGAAACCUAACAAAGAGUACUGGACAAUGUGGAAACUUAAGAAGUGGGACAACAUAGGCACUACCAGCUAUCGGGGUGUAAGAGAGGGGAGUUAUGGGUGAAUUGCAUUCAGUGAAGGCUUCACAGAGGAAGAGAAGGUGAACCUGAGUCUUAAGAUUUAGUUAUACAAAGAGAAAGCAAGGGAAUUUCAGGUUGGAAGGACUAUGCAGGGAAAAGGGAAAAUAAAAGAGUCUGUUGAGAGCCAAUGUAUGAGAGUCUGACUGGAUGAAUUCACUGGAGAAAUUGAAU
rnacentral:lncRNA from 10 species